rnacentral:snRNA from 1 species
GGUGUCAAUCGACACCCA